rnacentral:rRNA from 1 species
CAUGCAUGUCUAAGUAUAAGCAAUUAUACCGUGAAACUGCGAACGGCUCAUUAAAUCAGUUAUCGUUUAUUUGAUAGUACCUUACUACUUGGAUAACCGUGGUAAUUCUAGAGCUAAUACAUGCUGAAAACCUCAACUUCGGGAGAGGUGUAUUUAUUAGAUAAAAAACCAACGCCCUUCGGGGCUCAUUGGUGAUUCAUGAUAACUUAACGGAUCGCAUGGCCUUGCGCCGGCGACGGUUCAUUCAAAUUUCUGCCCUAUCAACUUUCGAUGGUAAGGUAUUGGCUUACCAUGGUUUCAACGGGUAACGGGGAAUUAGGGUUCGAUUCCGGAGAGCGAGCCUGAGAAACGGCUAGCACAUCCAAGGAAGGCAGCAGGCGCGCAAAUUAUCCAAUGGGGACUCCCCGAGAUAGUAACAAAGAAUACUAAUACAGGGCUCUUUUGGGUCUUGUAAUUGGAAUGAGUACAAUUUAAACCUCUUAACGAGGAACAAUUGGAGGGCAAGUCUGGUGCCAGCAGCCGCGGUAAUUCCAGCUCCAAUAGCGUAUAUUAAAGUUGUUGCAGUUAAAAAGCUCGUAGUUGAAACUUGGGUCUGGCUAGCAGGUCCGCCUCACCGCGUGUACUUGUCCAGCCGGGCCUUCCUUCUGGAGAACCUCAUGCCCUUUACUGGGCGUGUUGGGGACCAGGACUUUUACUUUGAAAAAAUUAGAGUGUUCAAAGCAGGCCUUUGCUCGAAUACGUUAGCAUGGAAUAAUGAAAUAGGACGUGCGGUCCUAUUUUGUUGGUUUCUAGGACCGCCGUAAUGAUUAAUAGGGACAGUCGGGGGCAUCAGUAUUCAAUUGUCAGAGGUGAAAUUCUUGGAUUUAUUGAAGACUAACUACUGCGAAAGCAUUUGCCAAGGAUGUUUUCAUUAAUCAGUGAACGAAAGUUAGGGGAUCGAAGACGAUCAGAUACCGUCGUAGUCUUAACCGUAAACUAUGCCGACUAGGGAUCGGGCGAUGUUCUUUUUCUGACUCGCUCGGCACCUUACGAGAAAUCAAAGUUUUUGGGUUCUGGGGGGAG